AACGAACGCUGGCGGCAGGCUUAACACAUGCAAGUCGAACGCCCCGCAAGGGGAGUGGCAGACGGGUGAGUAACGCGUGGGAACGUACCUUUCGCUUCGGAAUAGUCCCGGGAAACUGGGUUUAAUGCCGGAUACGCCGUAUUGGGAAAGAUUUAUCGGCGAAAGAUCGGCCCGCGUUAGAUUAGCUAGUUGGCGGUGUAAUGGACCACCAAGGCGACGAUCUAUAGCUGGUCUGAGAGGAUGAUCAGCCACACUGGGACUGAGACACGGCCCAGACUCCUACGGGAGGCAGCAGUGGGGAAUCUUGGACAAUGGGCGCAAGCCUGAUCCAGCCAUGCCGCGUGAGUGAAGAAGGCCUUAGGGUUGUAAAACUCUUUCGCCGGAGAAGAUAAUGACGGUAUCCGGAGAAGAAGCCCCGGCUAACUUCGUGCCAGCCGCCGCGGUAAAAC
rnacentral:rRNA from 1 species